UCCAGUGGAAGAAAUUUAAAUAUACAUGAACGUAACGCUACAAUAAAUCAUCCUUUUCGUACAUGCAGCCAGCGUUCACCGAUUUAUUAGACGUUGUACGUCAAAAA